rnacentral:rRNA from 1 species
UACGGAGGGGGCUAGCGUUGUUCGGAAUUACUGGGCGUAAAGCGCGCGUAGGCGGCUUUGCAAGUUAGAGGUGAAAGCCCGGGGCUCAACUCCGGAAUUGCCUUUAAAACUGCAUCGCUAGAAUUGUGGAGAGGUAAGUGGAAUUCCGAGUGUAGAGGUGAAAUUCGUAGAUAUUCGGAAGAACACCAGUGGCGAAGGCGACUUACUGGACACAUACUGACGCUGAGGUGCGAAAGCGUGGGGAGCAAACAGG